GGGCGGCUGCGGCCCCCGGAAGGGACCGUAGCGGACGGCGGGCCCGCGCCUCCGCCCCGAGGCUGGCAGGUGUCCUGGGGCCGCGGCGGGAGAGCUCGGCGACGGGCCGGGCCGGCUGCGGAAUGCCCGCGGGCGGUUCAGAGGUACUUUGGGAUUCAUGUUGGUGCCCGAAUCGCCAAGAGGAAGUGGUCCUCAGACGAAGCGUCCGCCCUCCAGUCUGAUCGCAGUUCCCGCUGUACUGUGUUCGCUGUCAGGUGGGAGGACCGACGUCCUGCAGGGUGCGUGCUCCUGGCACACCCCCGGGACGGCAGCGGUCAGAGCCUCUUCAAAUGAAGCGGGUGUGCCCAGAGGUUCAGAUUUGGGGCCCUGGAGUGAGAUCUGCACUGGAGUCCUGGCUCCACCCCCUGACCUUGACCUGCCCGGGCUAAUUGCUCGAGUCCUCUGGACCUAAUAGCUGUCCACCGGGGGUAUUGAUACUCUGUGUUGUGGAUGAUUGAAAGAAUGACAUCGUGUCCCUCCAGGGGCUGCCAGGGGCCUGCACAUAUAAGACCUAAUAAAUGGGCACUUGUGUAGUGAUUACUGGGCAGAUCUCCGCAGCCCUCCCCCCUCUGUUCUCCUGUGUGAGUUCCACAGCUAAAGUACACGGAAGAAAAAAGAUGCAGCCUUUGAAAAAGAAGAAACAGAAAAACUGUCCCCUGGGCUCAGCUAUGGCUACUGGAGUGAAGAAGCAUUGGGCUGAGCUGCACAGGAACUGGAAGCAGACAGGAAGCAGGCAGGAGGAGGAAGCUCCUACUCCAUGGCCCAGUCUUGCACCAUUGCUGCCCUUAUCUGCAGAGCCGAACAGUGAGCUUUCAGGAGUGUGAUGUGCAAACCGGAAGCUUCAGCACCACUAGAUGCAGUAGAAGGGUGGCUUCAGAGCCAGAGCAGAAAGCAGGGCUGAGAGUGUAAUUUCAGACACUGAGGCAGCUACCUUGAACUCUGAAGUGACAAGCACGAGGACAGCAAGCACGCUGAGAUGGCACCGUGGAAAACGGAGCCGGUCCUGAUGAAAUGGCUGGGCCACUGCCCAGGUCCGGGACAUCCACCUGCAGGCUUACUGCUACCAGCAUAUAGUUACGCUCAGGCUACCGUUUGGUUUCCUGUUGACUGCUUCCUGGCCAUCCAUCCCUCCAGGACAGGAUUGCUGAGAGCCUGGCCUCAAGCUCACUGAGGCAGAGGACAUGAAGACACAACUGCAGACAUGUUAGAUAGCUAGGAAGCAUGUCCUGUCUCACAAAAGUAAAGGAAAUCUGAAUAUGGUGCCUGUUUCCAAUAUGAUAGGAUACACAGUGAUUUAAAUAACAAAAAUAAA